ACACUUGAAUCUCUCCCAUUCCUGCUGCUUGGUGCUAGUCUGGGAACAGACAGUGCUACACCAUGAGCAGAGGCUAUCCCAUCUAGACAGGUUGUCUUCCAUUUGCCUUAGGGCUUCUCCCUACAGCUCUGCCAUCUUU
rnacentral:snoRNA from 1 species